GAGACCACUACAUCACAGAGAACAGGAGGGGUCAGUAAGGGUGACAGUGCUUUACUGGGUUCAAUGCCAUUAGUGGUUAAGACUUCCUCGCUCCUCCGCAACGUUUGGCGGUAUGCCUGUGUAACCUAUACCAGGGCUGAUCUGGCAUAAGCCAUCUUGGAUUGGUCGCAGAUAGCAGGCCAAUGUACAUCUGCCCCAGGAUAUCUCAUUAUAGGCAAUGAGAAACUCCUAGAUAUGAAGAUUACUUGGAUAAAUCCCAUCUGGAUACAUUAUGCUUGGAACAAAAAUAAAGUAUGAAUGAGCCGGCAACAA